CCUACGGUGCGCAGCAGUGAGGAAUAUUGGUCAAUGGACGAGAGUCUGAACCAGCCAAGUAGCGUGAAGGAUGACUGCCCUCUGGUUUGUAAACUUCUUUUAUAAAGGAAUAAAACGACGCACGUGUGCCUUUUUGCAUGUACUUUAUGACUAAGGAUCGGCUAACUCCGUGCCAGCAGCCGCGGUAAUACGGAGGAUCCGAGCGUUAUCCGGAUUUAUUGGGUUUAAAGGGAGCGUAUAUGGGUUGUUAAGUCAGUUGUGAAAGUUUGAGGCUCAACCGUAAAAUUGCAAUUGAGACUGGCAGUCUUGAGUAUAGUUGAGGUAGGCGGAAUUCGUGGUGUAGCGGUGAAAUGCUUAGAUAUCACGAAGAACCCCGAUUGCGAAGGCAGCUUACUAAACUGUGACUGACAUUGAUGCUCGAAAGUGUGGGUAUCAAACAGGAUUAGAUACCCCAGUAGUC
rnacentral:rRNA from 1 species